rnacentral:rRNA from 1 species
UGGGGAAUAUUGCACAAUUGGCGCAAGCCUGAUGCAGCCAUGCCGCGUGUGUGAAGAAGGCCUUCGGGUUGUAAAGCACUUUCAGCGGGGAGGAAGGCGAUAAGGUUAAUAACCUUGUCGAUUGACGUUACCGACAGAAGAAGCACCGGCUAACUCCGUGCCAGCAGCCGCGGUAAUACGGAGGGUGCAAGCGUUAAUCGGAAUUACUGGGCGUAAAGCGCACGCAGGCGGUUGAUUGAGUCAGAUGUGAAAUCCCCGGGCUUAACCCGGGAAUUGCAUCUGAUACUGGUCAGCUAGAGUCUUGUAGAGGGGGGUAGAAUUCCAUGUGUAGCGGUGAAAUGCGUAGAGAUGUGGAGGAAUACCGGUGGCGAAGGCGGCCCCCUGGACAAAGACUGACGCUCAGGUGCGAAAGCGUGGGGAGCAAACAGG